rnacentral:misc_RNA from 1 species
CUCGGGCCGACCCCCUCUCGGGCGCUUCUCCUCGCGAUGGCGCGUAGGUGCUGCCGGGCAUGCUCUCGGGUACGGUGGUGGCUUCGUUGGUUUUCGCAACGGUCCUCGUCAGCCGUUGUGGUCUAGACGUGUCGAAGCGUUAGCGCUUCUGCUCGCGUAAUGCUCGUUCUUGUCCAAGGGCUCUCGGCGCUUCACCGUUUCGUGAUCGCCUUGGGGAGGCACGGAGGUCUACGGAGCGACGC